UGCCACAUGCUUACACAUACUGGCAAAACCCGCAUUAAUGUGCCCAGUGUGGAAUGACUUUUUGUGGAAGACCCUCACAACUUAAAGGGACAUUCCACCAGUGGAGACAUGAAUAUGUAUUGAAAGUGGGUCAUAUAUGUAGUAGAAUAGUAGCAUAUAUUUCUAAUUUGGUGCCUUCUUAACCGAGAAAAGGCAGAAAAUGACUUUUUAGUGCUUGUGGAUUGCAGACAACAAUCCCCAUAGUGCAUUGCAAUGGUCAGCUCCGCAGGCCACUCCCACUGUCGAACUCAAUUGUUCAACUCCGCCCAUAAUCUGUCAACCAAGGCUCGAGCGUUGAGCUCCACUCUACGCUACCUGGAAAUCAUUUCACACAAUUUCUAGUGAAGAGUUAGUUUGCGAACUCAUUCGUGAAUUACUCCUCGUUUCGAAAUGGUGUGCACUUGCAUGGUACCGGGAUGUUCAGCCAGCACAAGGAAAAUACACAGAGUACAUUUUCAUAGAUUACCCAAAGAGUUGGAGUUGUGCAAAAAGUGGCUACGGGCUAUCAAUAACCCGAAGUUCGGAGAGGACACAGCCAUUGAAGCACUAAAACAUCUGACGGUGUGCAGUCUACAUUUUUAAGGCAGAAGACUUCGAACCCAACCCCUUAGGAGUGAAGAGACCCGUGCUUGUGAAAAACGCAAUUCCGUCGAUAUUUACCUUGCCAGAUGAUGUCGAUGAACAGCCAGGAAUUUCUGGAACUAGCAGUGCUAGCUGCACUAAACGCAUUUGCCUGGAGACUAAAACGACGUCGACUGUAGCGUUGUUGUCCUCAUCAUCAAGAGGGUGAAUCCUAUUUAGCGCCAGCACCAAUGUUAUCAACACCAGUCAAGAUUCCUCCCUCUGUCCAAGCAGUUUUAGCACUUUUCCUUACUGCAGUUUAGCCUACCCACCUCUUGAUGAACAGAUGAAAGGCACUACAAAACAGGUGGAAGUGCAUUCCACACCAUGUGGUCAAUGAACACCGAUGGACUGACACGGAUGGAAAGCGGCAUCACUGUGACCAUGCUCCUAUAACAGCUGAGGAGCAGAAGAAGAGGAUGUGGCUGAAGAAGGACUGUGGCAUAUCAGGACCUGACGUCGCUCGUCUUUGAUAAAAGGCUUUUAAAAGAUCUUCAGAAGAUGGCCCUCUUCAAACAUACUGGGCCACUGGAGAUCUUUCACAGAGCUCUCCUGAAGUACCUCCCUAAACGCCAGUCCUUCUCCUACGAGGGAAUGAGCCUACCUCACCAUCAUGGAACAUAAUGAGAACAUUGUGGCACGAGAAGCAUGUUCACAGCUUCAAAAUGCAUACUUUGCUGAAAAGUUCAUUAUAUUCCUGUGGAGAGACAUCUACUAGUCAAAUCUUCAUUCAAAUAUCUG